UGGCACAAUGGUUAAAGUGCUCAGCUGCGAACUGAAAGAUUGGUGGUUCGAACCCACC
rnacentral:tRNA from 1 species